rnacentral:rRNA from 1 species
UACAGAGGUCCCAAGCGUUGUUCGGAUUCACUGGGCGUAAAGAGUGUGUAGGCGGUGCUCUAAGUUCGGUGUGAAAUCUCCCGGCUCAACUGGGAGGGUGCGCCGGAAACUGGGGUGCUGGAGCGCGGGAGAGGAAAGCGGAAUUCCUGGUGUAGCGGUGAAAUGCGUAGAUAUCAGGAGGAACACCGGCGGUGUAGACGGCUUUCUGGACCGUAGCUGACGCUGAGACACGAAAGCGUGGGUAGCAAACAGG